ACCCCUAGCAAAUCUCAAAAAACCGUCUCAGUUCGGAUUGUGCUCUGCAACUCGAGUACAUGAAGGUGGAAUCGCUAGUAAUCGUAGAUCAGAACGCUACGGUGAAUACGUUCCCGGGCCUUGUACACACCGCCCGUCACACCAUGGGAGUUGGUUUUACCCGAAGGCGUUUCGCUAACCGCAAGGAGGCAGGCGACCACGGUAGGGUCAGCGACUGGGGUGAAG
rnacentral:rRNA from 1 species